AUGAUUUGUGGUUUAGGUGCACAGAGGAACAGUUCACCACUGCCUCAAGAUGCAGUGAGCAGUAAUCUAAGGAAAAGUGGCCUGAAAAAGCCUGUGGUUGCUUCCUCGUUAAAAAGGCAGGCCUGUGGUCAGCUGUUAGAUGAGGCACAAGUGACUUUAUCCUUCCAAGACUGGCUGGCCAGUGUCACAGAACGCAUCCAUCAGACCAUGCACUAUCAGUUUGAUGGCAAACCAGAACCACUGGUGUUCCACAUUCCUCAGUCCUUUUUUGAUGCCCUGCAACAGAGAAUAUCUAUAGGAAGUGCAAAAAAACGGCUUCCCAACUCCACCACAGCUUUUGUUCGGAAAGAUGCCUUGCCACUGGGAACCUUUUCCAAAUAUACUUGGCAUAUCACUAAUAUCCUGCAAGUUAAACAAAUCUUAGAUACCCCAGAGAUGCCCUUGGAAAUCACCCGUAGCUUUAUCCAGAACCGAGAUGGGACUUAUGAGCUGUUUAAAUGCCCUAAAGUGGAAGUAGAGAGCAUAGCAGAAACCUACGGUCGUAUAGAAAAACAACCAGUGCUGCGACCCUUGGAACUAAAAACUUUCCUCAAAGUUGGCAACACUUCCCCAGAUCAAAAGGAACCAACACCUUUCAUCAUCGAGUGGAUCCCAGAUAUCCUUCCCCAAUCUAAGAUUGGCGAGCUGCGGAUCAAGUUUGAGUAUGGCCACCACCGGAAUGGGCAUGUGGCAGAGUACCAAGACCACCGGCCUGCCUUGGACCAGCCCUUAGAACUGGCCCCUCUGACCACUAUCACUUUCCCCUAAGGCAAAACAAGAGAAUAAUCUUUUGCUGCUUAAUUUGCACAUCCCCACCCCUUGACAACUUUAAAUACUAGUUACGCACUUAGAUGGCCCUGUUCCUUAGUGAACUGCUCUUAGCUAAGAUGCAAAUUCUCAGUGCUUUCAAGUGGAUUCUGCUGAAGAAAAUCUCUUGUAAAUAGCCUUUUUGGUGCUGCUGUGUACAGUCUUCAUUAUGCAUUGGGCAGUAUUUCUGGCUAGAGUUUUAAAAGGAACAGAAAGAAAACCAGCUUAUUUUCCUUCUUAUGAACUCAUUUUUAGCGUUUAUUUCAACCUUUUGCUAAUUAUCUGAGAAAUUUGCAGCACUCAGCCAUACACGAACAGUGUUGGAAAGUUAACACCCUGGCUAGGGCAGAAUGUUAAAGACCAUCUUGGCAGAGUUCCAGCCAUGCUCUUUAUUCUGUUCUCAAAGCACAGCGUCACUAGUUUUUCCAAAUUAUAUCAUGGUCACCUUUUUAUAAAAUUUAUAAAUUUUGGGGGGCGGGAUUUAACUGAUAGUGAUACAGGAAAAAGAGAUCCAGGUGUCAAGGGAAUAUUGCUAUUUCAAACUAAUGCUUGUAAUAGCUUGUUCACUUAAUAUUUGUAUCUUUCUUUAUAUGUUCUCCAAACGGUAAAAUUCAAUUGCUGUUUCUGAGUUCAAUGAUCAUAGAAUAGAGAUACUGAAAAACUCGGAAGUAUAAGCCUAUCUUUAAGGAGGAAAGAAGGGAAUGAACAUUUCUUGCAUGCCUACUAUGUGCCAGGUACUUUCUUUGUUUUUGUUUGUUUUUUGAGAUGGAGUCUCACUCUGUCACCAGGCUGGAGUGCAGNNNNNNNNNNGGGCCGGGCGCGGUGGCUCAAGCCUGUAAUCCCAGCACUUUGGGAGGCCGAGACGGGCGGAUCAUGAGGUCAGGAGAUCGAGACCAUCCUGGCUAACACGGUGAAACCCCAUCUCUACUAAAAAAUAUAAAAAAACUAGCCGGGCGAGGUGGUGGGCGCCUGUAGUCCCAGCUACUCGGGAGGCUGAGGCAGGAGAAUGGCGUGAACCCAGGAGGCGGAGCUUGCAGUGAGCCGAGAUCGGGCCACUGCACUCCAGCAUGGGCAAGAGUGCCAGACU
rnacentral:lncRNA from 10 species